AGCUCACUGGUCGAGUCGGCCUGCGCGGAAGAUGUAACGGGGCUAAACCAUGCACCGAAGCUGCGGCAGCGACGCUUAUGCGUUGUUGGGUAGGGGAGCGUUCUGUAAGCCUGCGAAGGUGUGCUGCGAGGCAUGCUGGAGGUAUCAGAAGUGCGAAUGCUGACAUAAGUAACGAUAAAGCGGGUGAAAAGCCCGCUCGCCGGAAGACCAAGGGUUCCUGUCCAACGUUAAUCGGGGCAGGGUGAGUCGACCCCUAAGGCGAGGCCGAAAGGCGUAGUCGAUGGGAAACAGGUUAAUAUUCCUGUACUUGGUGUUACUGCGAAGGGGGGACGGAGAAGGCUAUGUUGGCCGGGCGACGGUUGCCCCGGUUUAAGCGUGUAGGCUGGUUUUCCAGGCAAAUCCGGAAAAUCAAGGCUGAGGCGUGAUGACGAGGCACCACGGUGCUGAAGCAACAAAUGCCCUGCUUC
rnacentral:rRNA from 1 species